rnacentral:rRNA from 1 species
UACAUGGGGUGCAAACGUUGCUCGGAAUUAUUGGGCGUAAAGCGCACGUAGGCGGUUCGUUAAGUCGGAUGUGAAAGCCCUCGGCUCAACUGAGGAAGUGCACCCGAAACUGGCGAGCUUGAGUACGAAAGAGGAUCGCGGAAUUCCCGGUGUAGAGGUGAAAUUCGUAGAUAUCGGGGAGGAACACCGGGUGGCGAAGGCGGCGAUCUGGGUCGAUACUGACGCUGAGGUGCGAAAGCGUGGGGAGCGAACAGG